rnacentral:lncRNA from 1 species
UUCUGUGUAUUAGCAGGUUUAUUUUCAGAGUUAUAGAAGUCCUCAUGUAAAAGCUCUCAAGUUAUUAUAAUUUCAGGGACAAAUAUUAAGUACAUAAGAAAACCUCUCAGAUAUUAUAGGCUUUGAUUGCAGUGUGAAUGGCUGACUUGAAACUGACAUCAACUACUUCUUGGGGAAGACAGCUCAACACAAAAAGGAUGUUUGUGAUCUGGAACUGAAUCUUCAAUAUCUCCAAGGUAGAGCAUGGUUAAAUAAU